rnacentral:rRNA from 1 species
GACGAACGCUGGCGGCGUGCUUAACACAUGCAAGUCGAGCGGUAAGGCCCUUUCGGGGGUACACGAGCGGCGAACGGGUGAGUAACACGUGGGUGACCUGCCCUCAGCUCUGGGAUAAGCCUGGGAAACCGGGUCUAAUACCGGAUAUGACUCCAUGACGCAUGUUGUGGGGUGGAAAGCCUUGUGCGGCUGAGGAUGGGCCCGCGGCCUAUCAGCUUGUUGGUGGGGUGAUGGCCUACCAAGGCGACGACGGGUAGCCGGCCUGAGAGGGCGACCGGCCACACUGGGACUGAGACACGGCCCAGACUCCUACGGGAGGCAGCAGUGGGGAAUCUUGCGCAAUGGGCGAAAGCCUGACGCAGCGACGCCGCGUGGGGAUGAAGCUUCUCGGAGUGUAAACCCCUUUCGACCCGGACGAAUAGCCCGCAAGGGACUUGACGGUACGGGUAGAAGAAG